AUGGCGGUGAAGGGGAAGGGCAAGCAGAUCGCCACCGACGACCCGGGCUCCUCCUCCGGCUCCAAGCGGCGCGGCGCCGGCGCCGGCCGCGGCGGCGCGGGCCCCUCGUCCUCCUCCGCCAAGCGCCGCCGCGGCCGCUCCGGCGUCCUCCAGUUCGUCGACGACGCCGCCGGCGUCGACGACGAGUACGAGGAGGACGAGGAGGAGGAAGAGGAGGAGGAGGAGGCGGAGGAGCUGCAGGACGACCUCGACGACGGUUUCUUUACUGCGGGGAGGACAAAAGGUGUAAGAGUUGAAAGGUCACACCCUCUUCCAUUUCUUGGAAAUGUAAAGGAAGAGGAGCUGAGCGGUGAUGAACUUGAGCAAUUUAUCAAUGACCGUUACUCUAAUCGUGUGAGAUAUGCCGGUUAUGGUGGCUCUACCGAACAAUAUGAUGAUGAUGAGUCUACCAUGGAUGGUGUAAAAGAUCCUAUCAUCUGGAGGGUCAAAUGCAUGGUUGGGCGGGAGCGCCAAAUGGCUUUCUGCUUCAUGCAGAAGUUUCUUCAUCUGCAAAAGUUCGGUACCAAAGUGCCAAUUAUCUCAGCAUUCUCACUUGAUCAUGUGAGAGGAUCUGUUUUUGUUGAAGCUGAGAAGGCUUGUGACGUUACUGAGGCAUGCAAAGGAUUUUGCGAUGUUUAUGUAAACCGAACUAGUACUGUCCCAGUAGCUGAAGUUCGUAGCUUGCUAUCAACUCGUGCAAAACCAUUUGAAGUUUCUCCAGGUACAUGGGUGCGCAUGAAAAGUGGAAACUAUAAAGGAGAUCUAGCACAGGUUGUCAGUGCGGAUGAUGGGCGGAAAAAAGUGUUGAUAAAGCUUAUACCAAGAGUUGAUCUCCAUGCUAUUUCAAAAAAAUUCGGUGGUGCUAUUCCCCUAAAAGGUGCGGCAGUUCCUGCGCCGCGACUAAUCAGCUCGCAGGAGCUAGAGUUCUUUGGACCUCAUAUCGAAAGUAAGCGUGAUCGUCAGACUGGUGAUGUUUUUGAAGUGCUUGAUGGUCUGAUGUUCAAAGAUGGUUUCCUGUAUAAGCGAGUUGCACUUAGUUCUUUGAUUUACUGGGGGAUACAACCAACGGAUACCGAGAUUCUCAAGUUCUCUUCUAGUCCAAGCAUUAAAAGUUCUGCCGAUGACAUGGAUUGGGUCUCCGGCAUCUAUGGUCAUAAUAAGAAAAGAAAUGUGCCCAGAGAACCGGAUAUGAAGAAAUCAGCAUCUUCUAAAGACAAAAGCUCCAAGGCAUCAAAUCUUAAAGGUUCCACUUCUACUGAAAACUGUGAUGAUGAUGAUGAUGAUGCUCAAUUCAACCUCCACGAUCUUGUAACCUUUGGCCGAAAAGAUUUUGGAGUGAUUAUUGCUGUUGAGAAAGAUGGUUUUAAGAUUUUAAAAGGUGGCCCUGAAGGAUCUGCUGUGACAGUUAGAAAGCAAGAUAUUAAGAAAGGAAUUGUAGACAAAAUGUUUACAGCUGUUGACCAUCAGAACAAGUCAAUAUCCAUGAAUGACACUGUUAAAGUUCUGGAAGGACCAGUUCAGGGCAAGCAAGGAGUUGUUAAACACUUGUAUAUGGGAAUACUUUUUAUAUAUGAUGAAAGCGAAAGUGAGAACAGUGGAUUUUUCUGUGCUCAGUGUGGGUCAUGUGAAAAUGUAAAGAAAAGGAGGGACGUGACAAAUUCGGACAACCCUAUGUUCUCGGAGUCAGCUUUCAUAUCAUCUGAGCAAAAUGAACAACGAAAUAAUGAAAGGCCUUACAGGGCACCCAGAGAACAACUCUUCCAAGUCGGAGAGGUGCUGCGUUUUCGAAGGGGUCCUUUGAAGGGUUAUCUCUGCCGUGUAGUUCGGAUAUUUAGAAAUGAUGUAACUGUUAAGCUAGAUUCUCUACUGAAGAUUGUUACAGUGCAAGCAGAGUUUCUCUCAGUCCCAACUAAAAGAGGGGAUAACUCGUCCAGUGCUCCAUCUGGUAAUUUUGGAACUCAGGAUACACCAUUCACCGAAGCUGCUAAAACCUCAUGGGACAAUGGAUUUGCAUCUCUUGGCAGUGAUUCUUGGCAACCUUUUUCAAGUUCUGCGUUACCAGCCCAGAAUGCAGAUGGAGAAACAGAAGCUGAUCCCUGGUCUAAGAAACCAACAUCUUCUGCUGAUGGUGAUUCUGAUCCAUGGGGUAACAAAACAACAUCUGCAGCUGUUGAUAUAUGGAACAACAGCACUGCACAAAAGGAAAGCUCCACCGACAAUGCCUGGGGUAAAGAAGCCGGAGGUGGUGGAUUUGAUGCUGGUGGCAGCUCUUGGGGUGGAGGAGCAGUCAACAAGGAUAGUGAAAAGAGUGGCAACUGGGGUGAGGCAUGCAAGCAGGUGGACACGGCAACUGGUGGUGAUACAGAUCCUUGGGGCAGUAAGGUCAAAGAAGUAGUUAUGAAAGAAGCAGAUAGCUGGGAGAAGUCAUCAUGGUCACCAGAGAAGAAGUUGGAGGGUGAUGAUCAAGGAUGGGGCCAACCUUUUGGCAAGUCAAACCAAGAUCAAGAAAAAGGCACAGUUCCGAAGGACGCAGACAAGGGUGGGUCUUGGGAUACCACUGUUGCUAUUUGUGUCGGUUCAGAUGAUAAUGAUGCCUGGGCUAAAUCUGCUACUUUGCCUGUUGCUCAAGAUGAUGCCUGGGGGAAGUCAAAAGAGUCAGGCCAAAACAGCGGCUCUGGAGGCUGGGAUACUGUUGCUGUGGGCCAAGGACAAGAUGAAGCAUGGGGCAAUCCAAAAGAUUCAGGUGCCAAGUCUGAAGAAACAAAUAAUGGAAGUGGGAACUGGAACAAAGCUGGCUCAUCAGACCAAGUUGGUGGCAGUGAUUGGGGUAAACCGAAAAUUUCUGGCGGUGCUGGUUCAUCAAGCUGGAACAAGGGAGAGGCAGCUGAGGGGGAUAAUCAGAAUAGCACCUGGAGCAGACCUGCUGGAAACUUUGAAGGUGGCCGUGGGUUCGGGCGAGGACGUGGGAGAGGCCGGGGCCGGGAAUCUUGGGAUUCUGGUGACAGAAAUGACCAAGAAAGCUGGAAGGGCUCAUGGCGUAAUGACAGUUCUGCAAAGCCCUCUUGGGGGUCUGAUACACAGGUAGGUAAUGAAGGUGGAGAUUCUGGUGGAUACCGGGGGAGGGGAAGAGGGAGGGGCCAAUAUGGAGGACGAGGGGGAGGAAGAGACAAUGGUUGGAGAAAUGGAGAUCGAGGUAGUUCUGAGUUUGGAAAGGAAAGGAGCAGUAGUGAUACACCAAACUGGGGAAACAGUCAGCCUUGGAGUGCCAAUGAAGGCACCAAGCCAUGUGAUGAAAAUCAGACUCCCGCUUGGAAUUCCUCAGAGGAUAAAAAACUGUCUGGAGGCGAGCAAGGUGAUCCUUGGGCGAGCAAGGUGACUGCUAAAGGCCAAGAACAACAAACUGAUGCUUGGUCAAGCAAGGCUGCAGGUGCUGAGAACAAUGAUUGCUGGAAUACGAAGGCGAAAGAGUCUUCCUGUAACACUGGGGCAAAAUGGGAGGAUGCUGCAUCAGGUGAAAAACAACAAGAUGAUCCGUGGUCAAACAAGAUCAGUUCUACUACUAAAGGCAAAGAGCAAGAAACUGAUCCGUGGGCAAGCAAGGUGUCUUCUACUGCAGCAGAGGAAAAAGCUGACCCCUGGAGUACUAAAGGGGGCAAUGGGAAUGAUGGGGGUUGGAACAAUGCUGGCUCGUCUUCUUGGGGCAAACCAAGUUCCUCAAGUGGAGAUCAAGAACCUGCUUGGAACGAGCCAAAAUAUGGUGAUGAUAAUGCUGGAUAUGGUAGGGGUGGAUUUGGACGUGGGAAUCGUGGCAGAGGCAGGGGAAGGUUUGGGGACAGUGGAUCUUCAUGGAAUGGAGGAGGCAACACAAAUGAUGGAUCAGGUGGAGGAAGGUCUGAAGAUCAGUGGAACAGUAGGGAUUCCGAUGGUGGCAGAGGAAGGGGCAGAGGUCGCUUUGGUCGAGGUGAUCGCUAUCAAGGUAACAACUUUGGGUCAGGAGACGGGGAUGGUGGCAGUUGGGGCUCUGGCAGGGGAAACAGAGGCCGUGGUGGUGGUUACAGAAACAAUGGAAAUGACAACAAUGAGGGAAGGGCCUCCAGUCAAGACCGCGGUGGUGGCUGGUCUCACUCUUCUGCUUGGAAUGCUGAUAAAAAGGGAAGCGCUGAAGACGAUCAAUCUUUCUCAAAGGGCAAGUCCAGCUGGGGGAGUGACAACAACGGUAGCUGGGGAGCUCCAAAACCAUCUGGUGGUGAUGAUCAGGCAGGAAAGAAGGAUGGAAACAACACCUGGAGUCAAAACAAGCCAUUUUCUGGCGAUGGAUCCUCUAUCCUGGGCCAGUGGGCUCCUGCUGGCGGCGCCACCGCUGGUACUGCAGGAUCUGCAGGCGGAGGAGGAUCAUGGGGAAAGAGCAAUGAAGAUAGCUGGAAUUCUUCAAAAGGAACUGGAGGCUCAGAAGGUGGUUUGAAGAAGGAAGGAUCCUGGGACAAGGCUGAAGGGAGCGGGAGCCAAGGCGGAGGUGGCGGCAGUUCUUGGGACAAGGUGGCCAGUGGCGGAUGGGACAGCAACAAGGGCGGGGAUGCCGGCAAUGGUGGUGGCAGUGGGUGGUAA
rnacentral:rRNA from 1 species